rnacentral:rRNA from 1 species
CCUACGGGAGGCAGCAGUGGGGAAUUUUGGACAAUGGGCGAAAGCCUGAUCCAGCAAUGCCGCGUGUGUGAAGAAGGCCUUCGGGUUGUAAAGCACUUUUGUCCGGAAAGAAAUGGCUCUGGUUAAUACCUGGGGUCGAUGACGGUACCGGAAGAAUAAGGACCGGCUAACUACGUGCCAGCAGCCGCGGUAAUACGUAGGGUCCAAGCGUUAAUCGGAAUUACUGGGCGUAAAGCGUGCGCAGGCGGUUGUGCAAGACCGAUGUGAAAUCCCCGAGCUUAACUUGGGAAUUGCAUUGGUGACUGCACGGCUAGAGUGUGUCAGAGGGGGGUAGAAUUCCACGUGUAGCAGUGAAAUGCGUAGAGAUGUGGAGGAAUACCGAUGGCGAAGGCAGCCCCCUGGGAUAACACUGACGCUCAUGCACGAAAGCGUGGGGAGCAAACAGGAUUAGAUACCCUGGUAGUCCACGCCCUAAACGAUGUCAACUAGUUGUUGGGGAUUCAUUUCCUUAGUAACGUAGCUAACGCGUGAAGUUGACCGCCUGGGGAGUGCGGUCGCAAGAUUAAAACUCAAAUGAAUUGACGGGG